UAACGGCCAUACCAUGCUGGAUGCUGCUCGUUAGAUCACCGAGGAAGUCAAGCAUCAUUGGGCGCGGUCAGUACUUGGGUGGGUGACCACCUACGCGUUCGCGUGCCGU